GAUGAAGAACGCAGCGAAAUGCGAUAAGUAAUGUGAAUUGCAGAAUUCAGUGAAUCAUCGAAUCUUUGAACGCACAUUGCGCCCAUUAGUAUUCUAGUGGGCAUGCCUGUUCGAGCGUCAUUAAUUCCACUUAAGCCCUGCUUAGUGUUGGGAAUCUACUCUAGCGGUGCUACCCUGGAGCUACCCCUGAAAGGGGGCUGGCCCGGUAGCUACCCUGUAGUUCCUCAAAGAUAGUGCGCGGAGUUGCGUGGUCCUCUGAGCUUAGUAACUAUACACCUAGCUUUUGAGUGUCCCGCGGCGCCUGCCGUUUAAACCCCAUCUUUUAAUGGUUGACCUCGGAUCAGGUAGGAAUACCCGCUGAACUUAAGCAUAUCAAUAAGCGGAGGA
rnacentral:misc_RNA from 1 species